rnacentral:rRNA from 1 species
GAUGAACGCUAGCUACAGGCUUAACACAUGCAAGUCGCGGGGCAGCAUGUGGGUUGCUUGCAACCCCUGAUGGCGACCGGCGCACGGGUGAGUAACGCGUAUCCAACCUGCCCUUCACCACGGGAUAACCCGGCGAAAGUCGGACUAAUACCGUAUGUUGUCCAUUGACGGCAUCCGAUUUGGACGUAGGGCCUGGCGGAGAACGGAUGGUGAUGCGUUCGAUUAGCUUGACGGCGGGGUAACGGCCCACCGUGGCUACGAUCGGUAGGGGUUCUGAGAGGAAGGGCCCCCACGCUGGAACUGAGACACGGUCCAGACUCCUACGGGAGGCAGCAGUGAGGAAUAUUGGUCAAUGGGCGUAAGCCUGAACCAGCCAAGUAGCGUGCAGGAUGACGGCCCUAUGGGUUGUAAACUGCUGUUAUGCGGGGAUAAAGUGGCCCACGUGUGGGCUUUUGCAGGUACCGCAUGAAUAAGGACCGGCUAAUUCCGUG